GAGUCUCCUGAAGGAACGUUGAAGACGACGACGUUGAUAGGCCGGGUGUGUAAGCGCAGCGAUGCGUUGAGCUAACCGGUACUAAUGAACCGUGAGGCUUAACCUUACAACGCCGAAG
rnacentral:rRNA from 113 species